ensembl:lncRNA
CACAUUCAGUGUGAGAACCACUGGUUUAGAUUUUUUGAGUACCUGAGUAUGUGCUAUUGCACUUUAAUACAUAAAGUGAUAACCAUCAUUUUUGAAAGUGACAGCAACUGAAGAUGGUGAGAACUGCUUGAUUUCUAUACCUUGAGAAUUAAGGUUGCAUACCUAGACUCCUAAAUCUUGGUUUAGAAGCUGAACAUAAGAAAUCAGUCUUGCGUGUUUUUGGCAGAUGGUUAUGAGAAAGGUCCCACAUUCCUGGCUCUUGCUUGGGUAGAGCAUUGUUCCCUUGUGCUUCACAGUUCAAUAUCUCAUCCUGGAAAGAUGUUCAUAGCUGCACAUUCCUGAAGGAGAAGAGAGACAGUGUGACUAGAGAGAGAGGAGAACAUCAUCAUUUUAAGCAAGACCUGUGAAAAGGUGCUUGUGCUGUUGAAGUCCAGUGGUAUUUUGAACAAUGCAGCUUGCUGAGGACAUAGAUGAACAAGUAAGUCAGAAUCAGUCCAAACAAGUCCUGAUCAAGGGUUGAGAAAUCCUUUGUCUGAGGGACACAGAUGGACAAGGCCAGGGGCAACGAGAGAGAGAUAAACCGGGGCUUAAUGGCCAGGAAGCAGUCUUUUGUGUGGGCUUAUCUCGAGGAGGAUAGCCAUCUCAGGGGGUACUGCACAUGACUGUUACCCAAGCACCCAGGAAUGCCACAUUGGCAGAAGAAGGAUAAAAAAAAGGGACGAACAACCAGAAGAGGGAGGUUUUCUGACAACAGAUUCCUCAUGAAGAAGAGGUUUCUGACAACAGAUUCCUCAUGCUGGAGAGAGGUUUUCUGACAGCAGAUUCCUCAUGAAGAACAAGAAGGUUUCUGACAUGAGAAGCCUCACGACCUGCCUCUCCCUCCUGGACUUGCUCUGUGCUCUACCUGCUUGCUGCCUGAGGCCAGCCACUCUGCUGCUGCUCUCCCCCCCAAGAAGGUGUCUACCAUCAGAUCCCUCACUACGAAAGGCCUGCAUGCUGACGGACUGUCCAGGGCCUGCUACCAGAGACCUGCUGCGUCCUCCCAGACUUCUUCCUGGACCUACUCGGUGCCUGCACCUUCUUGCUGCCUGAAACCGGCCACGCUGCUGCUGCUCUUCCCCUGCGCUUUUGACCCAGACCGUCAGAACGUUGUGCAAUGGGACUGCUGCCAGAUCCUGGUGGUGACUAUCCUUGCUUUACACAAUUCUUGCCUCUUUCUAUCUUUUCUAUCGCCCGCCUUCCCUUCCCUAUCACCCUAAAUCAUCCAUCCUCCCCUUCCC